rnacentral:rRNA from 1 species
AGUGAACGCUGGCGGUAGGCCUAACACAUGCAAGUCGAACGGCAGCACAGGAGAGCUUGCUCUCUGGGUGGCGAGUGGCGGACGGGUGAGGAAUACAUCGGAAUCUACUUUUUCGUGGGGGAUAACGUAGGGAAACUUACGCUAAUACCGCAUACGACCUACGGGUGAAAGCAGGGGAUCUUCGGACCUUGCGCGAUUGAAUGAGCCGAUGUCGGAUUAGCUAGUUGGCGGGGUAAAGGCCCACCAAAGCGACGAUCCGUAGCUGGUCUGAGAGGAUGAGCAGCCACACUGGAACUGGGACACGGUCCAGACUCCUACGGGAGGCAGCAGUGGGGAAUAUUGGACAAUGCGCGCAAGCCUGAUCCAGCCAUACCGCGUGGGUGAAGAAGGCCUUCGGGUUGUAAAGCCCUUUUGUUGGGAAAGAAAUCCAGCUGGUUAAUACCCGGUUGGGAUGACGGUACCCAAAGAAUAAGCACCGGCUAACUUCGUGCCAGCAGCCGCAGUAA